rnacentral:rRNA from 1 species
GAUGAACGCUGGCGGCGUGCCUAAUACGUGCAAGUCGAGCGAACGGACGAGAAGCUUGCUUUUCUGAUGUUAGCGGCGGACGGGUGAGUAACACGUGGAUAACCUACCUAUAAGACUGGGAUAACUUCGGGAAACCGGAUCUAAUACCGGAUAAUAUUUUGAACCGCAUGGUUCAAAAGUGAAAGACGGUCUUGCUGUCACUUAUAGAUGGAUCCGCGCUGCAUUAGCUAGUUGGUAAGGUAACGGCUUACCAAGGCAACGAUGCAUAGCCGACCUGAGAGGGUGAUCGGCCACACUGGAACUGAGACACGGUCCAGACUCCUACGGGAGGCAGCAGUAGGGAAUCUUCCGCAAUGGGCGAAAGCCUGACGGAGCAACGCCGCGUGAGUGAUGAAGGUCUUCGGAUCGUAAAACUCUGUUAUUAGGGAAGAACAAAUGUGUAAGUAACUGUGCACAUCUUGACGGUACCUAAUCAGAAAGCCACGGCUAACUACGUG